GCCAGAACAGAAGUUUGCAGUAGCGCUGGAAGCGAACGAACGAAAAGUGCGCUGAGGCGGGGACCUUCUGAAAGGGGAGCGGAGAGCACUUUAGAAAUGUGUGGUAUGGAAGGACUUAGAGUUCUGAGACAUGAUUCCACUAUGGCCAGUCAAAGGUCUGAUCGUGGUUCAGCUGUGGCCCGCCAAAGAUCGGAUCUGGCAGUAAUGGGUUUCCGAGGUCUCUGCUGUGCAGCUUGUGGUCAGUUCAACACACACUUUGUUAUGGGUUUGGACUUUACAAUUUUUUUUCUCUCUCGAAAAUUGUUCCAUUAAAGUACAUUGGGGGAAAAAAAGCAAGCCACAUUUCCCUAGUAGUACAGAAGUGUUCACUGGUUUUGGAUGGUCAGAGACAGGAGACACUGUGGCAGGAAUACACAGGUUCAAGGGACACCUGCAGCCUGGAAAAAUUCAGGCUUGUCACCAGGACCUUACUCUCCUCAUCUGUAAACUCGAGAUGCGUCUCCACACUUACACCCCCUUGCAUCCCAGAACAGAAGCAUUGCCUCACAGAUGUAAGAUCCAAGUCAAAGGUGACUCCUGUGAGAGGCUAAAGUCCCUUCCGUGGCAAGUGAUCCUGAAAAACAAAUGCUUCUGCUCGUUGAUAGUUUCACGCUGCUGUGACAAAGUAUCCCAAAAGCAACUUAAGGGGAGAAGGAUUUCUUUUGGCCCAUGGCCUCAGAGAUCCAUAUCCAAGGAAGGAUGUAGAGGAAUGUUUCUUGCUUUGUGGCAGCCAGGAUACAGAGAGACAAAACACUCUUCAAGGACAUGGCUUGGGCGAUUCACUUUCUGCACCUAGCCUAGUUCCCAGAGCCUUCCAAAGCGAGGCCACCAGGUGGAGGAAGGCUUCAAUAUGAGAGUCUGUGAGAGACACUUCACACCCAAACCAUACCCUUAGAUAACCAGGAACUCUGGAGUCGAGAUUUGGGGGUUGGUUUUUAGUUUUGGAGGUGGAACUCAUGCCCAGCUUCACAAACACAGUGAGCAAAAGCCCUACCACUGAGCUACCAUCACAAAGAAUCUAAGGGUCUACAAAAGACUGCUGUGUGGCUGGGAAUAGACUACUUACCUAGCAUAUGUGAGGUCCUGGGUUCCAACACCAUGAAAAGAACAAUCUGUCUCAGUCAGUGUUUACUGCUGUGAAGAGACACCACACUCAAGGCAACUCUUAUAAAGGAAAGCAGUUAACUGGGGAUCGAUAUCGUUUACAGUUUCAGAAGUUUAACCCAUUGUCAUCACGGUGGGGAGCAUGGUGGCACACGUGGUGGCAGACACUGUGCUGGAGAAGUAGCUAUAAGGUCUACAUCCAGAUCCACACACAGCAGGAAGAGAGAAACACUGAACCUGGCUUGGGCUUUAGAAUCCUCAAAGCCCACCUCUAGUGAUAUACCUCCCUAAUGAUUAAGCAUUCAAGUAUGUGAUCCUAUGGGAGCCAUUCUUAUCCAUGCCACCACAAAACAGAGAAACAAGACCAAUGGUGCCCCUCAUCCUUUCACAAUAUCUGUGACUCUCCCCUUGGUCCCUGUGCAGGUAAAGACACAUCUUCUAGUCUCAUCCUUGAACCCAAUAAGUCCUCUACUAAGACUCUUCUCCCAUCUAUUCUCACUCCUUUAAUAUAAAAUGAGAGGGGAAGGGAUUUGCCCUCCUUAGAUUUCUUACUUACUUUUAGAACAAUUACCCAGUUCAGAAAAAAACUGGGGUCUUGUGUCUGCUUACACCUCAAUUAUACUCCAAGCCCUGUAUCAAAGGGUUGGAUUGUAUCUGUGACUGGGGUUCCCCCACCAAGACUGCAUGUGUGGAGCAGAGAAUCAGCUUCUCAGAGUGGGGGUCUCCACAGCCAGAUGUGCAGGCUGGACACUAAGAUCCCUCUUUUCUUGUUGUUAUUCCCACCCCAGCCUCAUCUAAUCGAUGCUCUGCUGCACAGCCCCCGAUGGUGAGCUUCUGUGGCUGUUUCUUGGUCUUUAGCGGUAUUCUCCUGCUCACUGAACAUUGUUCUGCCACGACACCUACCAGGCUCCAAGCCCAGGGAUGAUGCUGAUGUCAGAGGAAGCAAAGUCAGGAAAAUCUCACGCAUGAAAUGGAGAGACAAAAGCAGGCCACUCAAACAGACAGAUUUCCAAUCCUGGUAAGAAGGGGAAAGCCAGCUUUUCAGAUUCAGAACAUGCACCUUGACCUACAGGUACCAGAGUAUGGUGUUCAGCUUCAGGGAGAUAGAAAACAUUUUUCAUGGAGAGUGGCGUGACCUGAUGCUGCCAUAGAAACAAUGGAAACCAAACGGAGGUAUCCAGGAGGUAUCGGGGUCCCCGGGUACACAAACUAAACCCCUCUAACCUGGUAUCCCCACCCAUCAGAGAUUCUGGUGGCACACUACACACUCAUGAACAGGAAACUAUGUCGGUCCACACAACUUAAACCUGAUGGGAGCAGAGAUAGCCCAAAAAGAGACAGGCAUGACCCUGCUUCCAGCUGUCAGACCACUGAGACAAUGACCUCAAAGAAUUUUACAGGGAGUAUGGUGGCUCAUGCACUCAGCCACUCAAGAGACAGAGGCAGACAGAUCCCUGAGUAUGAGACCACCAUGAUCUAUAGACAGAGUUCAGGACAGCCAAGGCUACACAGAGAAGCCCUGUCUUGAGUCUCAUGCUGUGGGAAGGGAAACGGUGACGCUAGGAUCCACCCAAAGGAGAAACUUGUCUCUCUGGGUAAGACUGCGCGCUGUGCUGACAACUGUAUCAGACUCGCUAUAGGACAGAUGGAAAGAGAGGCAGUCCAGUGGUAGACAGGACCGCUCCAUGAUGUACCUCUCACGCACCAUUUACACUGUGCUCCUCUUGUCAUCCUGGGGAUGGUUGGCUGAACUUCCCUUGUUGGCUUUUAUCCUACAAAUUCCAGUAAUAGUUGGGCGUGGUGGGGUGUGCCUUUAAUCCCAGCACAGGGGAAACAGAAACAGGCUGGCUUCUGUAAAUCUGAAAGCAGCCCGUUUUAUAUAGUAAAUCCCAGGUCAGCCAGAGAAACAAGAACAACUCAAGCAAUAAAAUCAGUUCCCUUGACUGAGACGCAGAUCCCAUCUACAAAGCCAGACGGAGACAGAGUCCAUGCGCACAAUGGGAGAAAGCACAAGACCAGGCAGGGACAGGCAAGCCAACCUGCUUCACCCAAGUGGCAGCCAGACAAACAGCCUACGGGGCAGCUGCCUGGGUGCUCAGCCCUUCUGCUCUGCUCUGCCGUGCUGAGUAUAGGGCAUUACAAGAUCAAACCUUGGAACUAGACUUGGUGGCUCACAGUCCCAGCACUCGUGAGGCAGGAGGAUCAUGAGUUCUAGACCAGUCCUUCAGAGAGAGAGAGAGAGAGAGAGAGAGAGAGAGAGAGAGAGAGAGAGAGAGAGCAGAUUCAGAGAAUGAACUAUUAAAUAAGGAUACUAAAUAGUUGUGGAAGAAAAAUGAGACCAACAAGAUUACCAAGGUUACCACAUCUGCCUGUCCAUGGUGCUCAAAAGAAAAAUGGCAAAAUAUUCAUAGGAGAAAUAUAUAUACAGGCCCCAACACGUCCCCAGAUGUUCAAAUUAUAAAAGUCAAGCGGGUUUUUGGCACAGAAUCUCAACAAUGUAUAGGAAUAAUUGUAGUGAGAAUUCUGGAGUUUGGGUUCCUUUAGAGAACACAGAAAUAUAAGAAAGCGCUUGUUUUAGUCCCCGGUGCAGGAUAUGGGGCUGUGUCGCAGCAGCUGACUGUGGUUUGACAGCUGCGGACAGUUUCUGUGGUUGAGUGAUGUUUGUAAUACUGGGAACUUUUUAGAGGUUAGGUAAAGGCUAAGGCACUGAUUAGGCAGGGGUGGUGAUUGUUGGUCGUUCAGAGGGGUUGGUUGUGGUUUGUAGUCACGUUAGUCACGUUCAAAGAAGAAACAAGAAGAAAGAAAUUAGAUUCAGAUUCAGAGAUCUCUAUCCCCGCCCCAAUCCCUUCUCUGCAGUUUCUUUAGGUUGUAACCCGAGAUGCUAGGCCAGAUGCUGCUCUGCCAGUGCUCCUGGCAGCCCUGUCCUCCCACAGGGUCUCCAGCUCUGACUUCUGGGGGCAGGAAUUUCUCACCUGAAGAAGUGAGUUCACAUUACUGUACUGAGAGACCAGCCACACUUGUGCCCAGCCAAGAGCCCUGAUUCUUCUUUUCAGUGCCCUGGGGGGCCUGGGACUGGGGCCCUGAAGUCUCCUCCCUGUCUUAUCCCAGGGUCCAAAGUGUGUGGGUUGUGGUUGCCUCCACAUUGUGGCUUGUGCCACGCACACUUUACCAACUUGGUAGCAUUCCCCUGUCAGAAUUUCAAAAAGGAAGUGAAGACACAGCCCUUGGGGACCUGCCUAUGCUCUCCCCACUUCCAGCUCUCUUACCCGAGUUUCUUUUGUUUCUUCUUCAUGGAUAUAUGAUGUUCCCUUCAUUGUUAGAAUUUAGAUAUUCCACUGUGUUUUAUGUGAGCAUGGGCUCUCCGUCCUCUUCU
rnacentral:sRNA from 1 species